rnacentral:tRNA from 2 species
GGGCCGGUAGCUCAGCCUGGUAGAGCACUUCACUUUUAAUGAAGUGGUCGCGAGUUCGAAUCUCGUCCGGCCCA